UAAAGUUUGCAAAAGAGCAUUUGGAAAAGCCUGUGGAUUUUUGGGAGACUAUAGUAUGGUCAGAUGAAAGCAAAAUGUAAGUUUUUGGCAGUCAUUCUUCACACAGUGUUUGCAGACAAAAUGCUCACCACGCAAGACUCCAUCGCUGAACGAAAAGCAUGUUGAGACUCGGGUAAAGUUUGCAAAAGAGCUUUUGGAGAAGCCUGUGAAUUUGGGAGACUACAGUAUGGUCAGAAGAAAGCAAAAUUGAACCCUUUGGCAGUCAUUCUUCACACCAUGUUUGGAGACAAAAUGACACUGCCCACCACCCCAAGAACACCAUACCAACAGUUAAGUUUGGGGGUGGAAACAUCAUGGUUUUGGGGCUGCUUUUCAGCAAGGGGUACUGGCAGACUUCAUAUUAUUGAAGGCAGUAUGAAUGAAGAAAUAUACCAGGACAUUCUGGAUAAAAAUCUGCUGCCAUCUACCAGAAAGCUGAAAAUGAAAAGAGGGUCGACAAUUUAGCAAGACAAUAGCCGUGUGUGCACUAUCGGGCUUCAAGCGGGCGUGCCAGUGCCUGCCGAGGCCUGUCACGUUUGCAUUGUCACUUCCGGGGCAUGAUCGUGCUUCACUGGUGCUUUGUUGGGGCUUAAGGCCCGGCUUUUCUGGCCCGCCGAAUUCCUUGGGCCAGAGCGGGCUUCUCGGGGCUAGGGGAGUGGUAAAAGUCAAAGGCGGAGUUUAUCUGAGUCUCUGGCAAGAUGCACAUCCAUCUGUCUGCAGAUUUAAAACUUUAAAAAAUAAUCGUGAUCACCAGUAAUUUACUGUUUAACGGAAGAUGCCUGCUAUGUUUGUACUUCGGACUGAAGAAAAUGAUCUGCAUGUGUAAAAAACAAAGACGCGUUACAACGCCGAACUCGCCAUGCUAAGGAUCCGGCGCACACCGCUACCGGUUCGGGAGAAGUUUAUAAAGUUUCGGGCACAGAACAAAGUGUUUAAAGUGCAACAGGGCUGAGAAAUUAAAGAUGUGUGUUGGAUCAUCAUUUCAUCAUCCAUGUAUUAAAGAAGCGAUCACUCGAGUCACGAUGGUAUCUACAGUCGAAAAAUGCCAACGUAAAGCUUUCAGUUUGUCAUCCAGGAGUUUUUAUUUUGUAUAUGAGAGAUGAAACAGCAACAGAUGCAAGAGCAGGAGAUGAAACGAAGAUGAUGAUGAUGAGACGACAGGAGCCAUGGAUGUUGAAAUCCGUCCGGAGGAGAUGUCUUUAAAUACACCUGUUUGUGCACUGAUAUAAACUUCAUAUGUUAAUAAAGUACCGCGCUAUUAUUA